GACGAACGCUGGCGGCGUGCUUAACACAUGCAAGUCGUACGGUAAGGCCCUUUCGGGGGUACACGAGCGGCGAACGGGUGCGUAACACGUGAGUAACCUGCCCACAACUUUGGGAUAACGCUAGGAAACUGGUGCUAAUACUGGAUAUGUGCUCCUGCUGCAUGGUGGGGGUUGGAAAGCUCCGGCGGUUGUGGAUGGACUCGCGGCCUAUCAGCUUGUUGGUGGGGUAGUGGCCUACCAAGGCGGCGACGGGUAGCCGGCCUGAGAGGGUGACCGGCCACAUUGGGACUGAGAUACGGCCCAGACUCCUACGGGAGGCAGCAGUGGGGAAUAUUGCACAAUGGGCGCAAGCCUGAUGCAGCAACGCCGCGUGCGGGAGGACGGCCUUCGGGUUGUAAACCGCUUUCAGCAGGGACGAAGCUUUUUGUGACGGUACCUGCAGAAGAAGCACCGGCUAACUACGUG
rnacentral:rRNA from 1 species